UCUCUCAGUUUUGCGAUUCACCUUUAAAUUGAGAGGGAAGCCAUCUAAACCGCCGACGAAAAACCCAGCUCUCCCUGUUAUCGUCGAUUCUUAGGUACAAUCAUCUCUAACCUCGCAGAUGUGGUUCUUUCGUCUCUCUACAACAACAAAGCCAAGAAUGUGCUGCAGGCUGUGAGGAACAUUGGGUUUGUUACUCUUUUCACCAGAAGUCUUCCUGUUAGGACCCUGCAGGACACAUCGAUUGGCAAUUGCUUUCACUUUUGUGUUUUUACAAGGUAAUUCAGCCUCAAAAACUCUUGAUGGACUGGAAGACAAUGACUGUAACGCCCCCGAACCGCCGGUCGGACAGGACCGCGGACGGCACCGAGACGCCACAUGUGUGGGAACCGCACCCUGGUGGUCCGGUCGAGGGACAAAAGCUGCAGUUUCCCGACCAGUCCUCCUGGACGCGACUCCGCCCGCGGCUGAGGUUCACUUAGGCUUUGCAACCCUUGCGUCCCACGCGCGUUGUGUUGACCCGGACAAGACCGAGUACCAUUUGCAACUUGCCAUGUUUUCCCCGAAAACCGAAUAUAUAUUACUUUAAUAAUUUAUUACAUUGAAAGUAAAUCAUCAAAGCAAUAUACAUAGAUAGUCGGAUAAUUUUACAGAAAUCAUUUAGGAAAAUACAGGGUUUUACAAAGAACACAGAAAACCCUAUCCGGUACCCUAAAGUUUGCUCC